rnacentral:lncRNA from 13 species
CAGAGUCUGGCUUCUUCACCUUGGUCUUCCCAGUUACUAGAAGUAUGAGAAAUACAUUUCUAUUCAUUAUAAAUCGCUCACCUGUAGAUUUUGUUAUAGCAGCUCAAAAUGGACUAAGACAUCACCGAAGUGAGAACUAGUAACUCCGUUACACGUUUGAGUAAACUCACAAGAGGACAAGUGGAUUGUGAAGACCCUUAUUUACUAAGAAGCAGAACUGGGCUAUGAGCCUGCUGCGAGUUGUGAGGACAUCUCCAUUGACUCUGGGUUGCCUUCCUGGACUAAUCUGAAGUAACUGUUAAUGUUUUGGGGGUCUCAUAUUGUUUGAGAAUUUGAUGAAUGCCAGGGCCGUCUCCCAGAGACAUGAACACAGAAAAAAAUAUUCUCAACUUUACAAGUAACGUAGAUUCAUUGUGAAUCCCUGACUAAUAACUCCUCAUUACAGAAUAACAGAUUUUUUUCACCUGGAGUGAGGGCAAAAGAUGAGAAUCAGCUUCAAAGCGGUACAGACAUAGCAACUUACAGUCCUCUUCAGGAACCUUCUCUCACUGGGGAUAAAGGAUCGGGUAUAUUCUUUUUUUUUUUUUUUUUUGAGACGGAGUCUUUCUCUGUCACCAGGCUGGAGUACAGUGGGGCAAUCUCGGCUUACUGCAACCUCCACCUCCUGGGUUCAAGCGAUUCUCCUUCCUCAGUCUCCAGAGUAGCUGGGACUACAGGUUUGCUUUCCAUAUGCUGGAUGAUGUUUGUGGAUUUUCACUGUGUGUUUCAGAGUCUUAAAAGCUCAUGCUAGCUUGCUUAACAUACCUGCUAUAACUCAUGAUACAGAACCCUAUGGAGAACUGUGUUGUAACAUGGAUGUAGUGCCUAUGCAAAGGUACAUUGCCAAGCGGAAGACUGCCAGAGAGCAUCACUAAUGGAGGUAAGCUUGCAGGGUUAAAAAGUUUCACAGAGAGAAGUUAUAACCAGAAGAUAGUCCGUUAAAUUGCAUGGAGGUGCAGCACUGUGUUCUAAAUUGGUGUACCCCAUGAAUUUAUAUGUCGAGAUCUAAUACCCAAUGUGAUAGUAUUAAGAAGUAUGGCAUUUGAGAAGUGAUUAAGCCAUGUGGUGAGGGCUUGACCCUAAUCAAUGAGAAUUGUGACCUUAUAAAACAGGCUUGAGGGAGCUCACUGGGCCUUUCUUGCAAUGUGAGGAUGCAGCAACUUCUCAUUAUCUAUUAGGCCAUUAUCAGACACCAGAUCUACUGGCUCUUUGAUGUUGGCCUUACCAGCCUCCAGAACUCCAAACAAUAAAUCUCCGUCGUUUAUCA